ACUCAAAGGAAUUGACGGGGGCCCGCACAAGCAGUGGAGUAUGUGGUUUAAUUCGAAGCAACGCGAAGAACCUUACUAGGGCUUGACAUACCCUUGACCGGCAUAGAGAUAUGCCUUCUCUUCGGAGCAGGGGAUACAGGUGGUGCAUGGCUGUCGUCAGCUCGUGUCGUGAGAUGUUGGGUUAAGUCCCGCAACGAGCGCAACCCCCGUUGUUAGUUGCCAGCAUUGAGUUGGGCACUCUAACGAGACUGCCGGUGAUAAAUCGGAGGAAGGUGGGGACGACGUCAAAUCAUCAUGCCCCUUAUGUCCUGGGCUACACACGUACUACAAUGGCGAUAACAGAGGGAAGCAAGACAGUGAUGUGGAGCAAAUCCCCAAAAGUCGCCCCAGUUCAG
rnacentral:rRNA from 1 species